rnacentral:lncRNA from 1 species
CGCUGAAAACUAAAAGAUUCAAGAAUUUUUUAGUUCUGUACAGACUGAAAGCUAGAUUCAGGAAAUGUUCAGCAACAGCUAUGGCUGUGGUGCCGUCUUGCCCUCUAAAACUGAUAGCUUCUUCCCCUUAUACCCUGCUAUUUCCUCCCCAUGGCCUCAAUAUCGAUCCAACCCACUUACCAAAAUCUCAUUCACCAUCCCCCCACCUGAUUUUCAAGCCCUGAGGAUCCGGGUUGGAAGUCGGGUGGGAUCCGGGUACGCGGCUGCUUCCACAAGGGCCACGCUCAACUUGUACCCGCCUAUUUCCUUCCCAUGGCCUCAAUCUCGAUCCAACCCACUUUCCGAAAUCUCAUUCCCCAUCCACCCAUCUGAUUUUCAAGCUCUGAGGAUCCGGGUCGGAUCCCGGUACGCGGCUGCUUCCGCAAGGGCCACGCUGCAGGACGCUGUGUCGGUGGAGGAGCCAUGCAGUUUUUAUGAUCUUCUGGGCAUCCCCGAGACGGGCUCUCUGUUAGAGAUCAAACAGGCGUAUAAGC